AUCCGGAUGACGAGUCCCGAAUAGGAUGAAACGCGCAUCCUGGAU
rfam:Trichobilharzia regenti genome assembly, scaffold: TRE_scaffold0048238